rnacentral:rRNA from 1 species
CAGUCGCCGCGGUAAUACGAAGGGGGCUAGCGUUGUUCGGAUUUACUGGGCAUAAAGGGCGCGUAGGCGGACUGAUAAGUCAGGGGUGAAAUCCCAAGGCUCAACCUUGGAACUGCCUUUGAAACUGUUUGUCUUGAGUUCGAGAGAGGCAAGUGGAACUGCGAGUGUAGAGGUGAAAUUCGUAGAUAUUCGCAAGAACACCAGUGGCGAAGGCGGCUUACUGGCUCGAAACUGACGCUGAGGCGCGAAAGCGUGGGGAGCAAACAGGAUUAGAUACCCGCGUAGUCCCUGUCUCUUAUAC